rnacentral:rRNA from 1 species
UUUUAUCAAGAUGCUUGAAAGUUUCAGGCGGGCAGUUUUACUGGGGCGGUAGCCUCCUAAAAGGUAACGGAGGCGUACAAAGGUUUUUUCAGUCUGGACGGAAAUUAGUUGUAGAGUGUAAAGACAUAAGAAAGCUUGACUGUAAGACUAAAAAGUCGAGCAGAGACUAAAGUCGGUCUUAGUGAUCCGACGGUACUG